GGAGGGGGGCGGCUACACAUGCAAGUCGAACGGCAGCGGGUCCUUCGGGACGCCGGCGAGUGGCGAACGGGUGAGUAAUGCAUCGGAACGUACCCAGUAGUGGGGGAUAACUUACCGAAAGGUAAGCUAAUACCGCAUACGCACUGAGGUGGAAAGCAGGGGACCGCAAGGCCUUGCGCUAUUGGAGCGGCCGAUGUCGGAUUAGCUAGUUGGUGGGGUAAAGGCCUACCAAGGCGACGAUCCGUAGCGGGUCUGAGAGGAUGAUCCGCCACACUGGAACUGAGACACGGUCCAGACUCCUACGGGAGGCAGCAGUGGGGAAUUUUGGACAAUGGGCGCAAGCCUGAUCCAGCCAUGCCGCGUGAGUGAAGAAGGCCUUCGGGUUGUAAAGCUCUUUCGGCCGGGAAGGAAUCGUGGUGGCGAAUACCUGCCAUGGACGACGGUACCGGACUAAGAAGCACCGGCUAACUACGUGCCAGCAGCCGCGGUAAUACGUAGGGUGCGAGCGUUAAUCGGAAUUACUGGGCGUAAAGCGUGCGCAGGCGGUUGUGUAAGACAGGCGUGAAAUCCCCGGGCUCGACCUGGGAACUGCGCUUGUGACUGCACGGCUAGAGUACGGCAGAGGGGGGUGGAAUUCCACGUGUAGCAGUGAAAUGCGUAGAGAUGUGGAGGAACACCGAUGGCGAAGGCAGCCCCCUGGGUCGAUACUGACGCUCAUGCACGAAAGCGUGGGGAGCAAACAGGAUUAGAUACCCUGGUAGUCCACGCCCUAAACGAUGUCGACUAGUUGUUGGAGGGGUAAAACCCUUUAGUAACGUAGCUAACGCGUGAAGUCGACCGCCUGGGGAGUACGGCCGCAAGGUUAAAACUCAAAGGAAUUGACGGGGACCCGCACAAGCGGUGGAUGAUGUGGAUUAAUUCGAUGCACGCGAAAACCUACCUACUCUGACAUGCCAGGAACUGCCAGAGAUGGCUUGGUGCCCGCAAGGGAACCUGGACACAGGGUGCUGCAUGGCUGUCGUCAG
rnacentral:rRNA from 1 species